GGAUGCGAUCAUACCAGCACUAAAGCACCGGAUCCCAUCAGAACUCCGCAGUUAAGCGUGCUUGGCGAGAGUAGUACUAGGAUGGGUGACCCCCUGGGAAGUCCUCGUGUUGCAUCCC
rfam:Ananas comosus cultivar MD2 ACMD2_Scaffold_3923, whole genome shotgun sequence.